GUGUCAGCAGCCGCGGUAAGACAGAGGGUGCAAACGUUGUUCGGAAUUACUGGGCGUAAAGCGCGUGUAGGCGGUUAUGCAAGUCGGGUGUGAAAGCCCCGGGCUCAACCCGGGAAGUGCAUUCGAUACUGCGUAGCUAGAGUACUGGAGAGGAUGGUGGAACUCUGGGUGUAGAGGUGAAAUUCGUAGAUAUCCAGAAGAACACCGGUGGCGAAGGCGGCCAUCUGGACAGAUACUGACGCUGAGACGCGAAAGCGUGGGGAGCAAACAGGAUUAGAUACCCGUGUAGUCC
rnacentral:rRNA from 1 species